AGGAGACAAAGCAGCGGCCGUCGGCUUCGGGCCUCUGGAAUUUAGCUCUCGCCCAGCUUAGCCGCAGAGACAGAGUUUCACCAUGUUUCCCAGGCUGGUCUCAAACUCCUGAGCUCAAGUGAUCCACCUGCCUUGGCCUCCCAAAGAGCUGAGAUUACAGGCGUGACCCACUGCACCUGGCCCACUUUGAAGUCCUAAAUAAAUUUAGGUUAUUCUGUGCAU
rnacentral:sRNA from 1 species